AAUUAUUUUUAUUUUAUAGUUUACUGUUGUUAUUAAGUAACGUCCUUCCAAACCCGUUCCGCCAAACCCAUCCCGUAAAAAAAACCCGCAAUACACCGCUAAUUUAAAUAUAUAAUGAAAAUAAAUGUUUUACGGGAUUGCAAUUGUAUUUUAGUUUGUCAAACAAAUUUUUGUUUUAAAUAAUUGUCGAAAUCUAGUUCAAAUUUUGGAGAAAUAAGUUUAGUGAAUUGAUAAAAAAUGUAUUUAGGUGUGUUUUGCUCAUUUUAAGGGAUUGCAAUUGUAUUUUGGUUCACAUCACUAACAUAAUUGUAUUUAGGUGUGUUUUGCUAACCUAAAUCAUUAUACAAAAAUGUAUAUUGUUCUAUAUAUACAUUUUUGCAACCCUUUUAACAAAUAAAUCCUGGAGUUGAGAUUAUUUACAAUGUUAUGCCAUUGAAACUAUUACUUUGAAUUUAAUUUCGGAAAUUAUAUUUAC
rnacentral:sRNA from 1 species